rnacentral:rRNA from 1 species
UACGAAGGGGGCUAGCGUUGCUCGGAAUCACUGGGCGUAAAGCGCACGUAGGCGGCUUUCUAAGUCAGGGGUGAAAUCCUGGAGCUCAACUCCAGAACUGCCUUUGAUACUGGAGAGCUUGAGUCCGGAAGAGGUGAGUGGAACUCCGGGUGUAGAGGUGAAAUUCGUAGAUAUUCGGAAGAACACCAGUGGCGAAGGCGGCUCACUGGUCCGGUACUGACGCUGAGGUGCGAAAGCGUGGGGAGCAAACGGG